AUCAGAUAAAUCCCAAACCUGUUUUAAGAUCUCUCUUGGCAGCCUCCAACUUAAGAAAAGGUUGCGUGCCUGUUCACCAGUAAUUUUUCCAUCUCUAUCUGUGUCGACCUGCACAAAUACUUUCAUAUACUUUUGAAUACCAGAGUGAGUCAUCUUUGGCCAUGAGGGCUGGGAUUGACUGGAAUCAGAAUUCCCAGUUCCAACAGUAAACCCAGAUGAAGGAGUAACAACAGAACCUUGAGCUGUAACAGGCUGGUUCUGUCUUCCUGUUGAUUGCCCACCAACAGGUUGCUGAGAAAAUGUACUCUGCAAGGUGUCAAGAGAGCUUGGCUUGACUGAAGGUUGAGACCCAAGAGAAGAUGGAUUAAUUCCCAAUGAGACAGGUAAGGUACUCGUAGAUGACACAGCUGAUGAGGAACUUUGUGCUUGUUGAGCAGGAGUUGCAGAAAAUACAUCUCCAAAAGGUGAUUCCGAGGCAAAGCCAUUCCUUGAAACUUUAGAAUCCUUAGAUGCAGAUUGUUUGGAGGCCACAGCUGCAUCUUGAGGUUUUGGUAUACUAGAAGGUGUCUGUUCAGUGGCCAACUGCGGUCUAUGUUGGACAGAGGGCAUCAACCAUGAUGCUGUUGGCCCAAAUCCAUCCUGAAUUGCAGGAGGACUAAACCCCCUACUUUGACUUUGGGUAGUUGGGACACCUAUACCUCCACCAGCCCGAUCAGUUAAGAUAUU
rnacentral:misc_RNA from 1 species